CCAAAGAAGUUGGAAAAGGACCAGGGCUCAGUCAUUUGGACUUCCCAAGGUCAUAGCUAUGAGAGGAUACUACUGUACUAUACGGAAAAAAAAUGUCAACUUUAAAAGUGCUUUUCUUAACGAGUUAAAACAAGAUGGAAAUUGA